rnacentral:lncRNA from 1 species
AUACAGUUGAAGCAUUUAUUUGAAUAACUCAAGUCAAAAAACAUCUCUUGAGAAAGAUGGUAUUGCUCUUUUGAAGGUUGUAGCUGAAUUUCCUGCAACUCUUUCAAUUCACCUGGGGAACUCUUAAAUAAGUAGACUGCCGGCUUACUUCCCUUGGAAAUUCUGAUUCCACAGGAUUUUCAUUUUUCAAAGAACAUUCUCUAAUGAUUGUGAUGACUGGACCAGUUUGGCAACCACUGGCCCAGACAAGUUCACGACGGCACCAUGAAACCACUAGGUUGGUGCGAAAGUAAUUGCGGUUUUUAAAAGUGAUGGCAAAAACCGCAGUUGUGUUUUCACUAACCUAAUAUGUCCAUAGUCAUGGCAAAGUUUGUUAUUCUGCUUCUCAUAAACUUGAAUGCAGGUCUGAAUUAUGAAACAUUGGACAUUUAUUGUGUCCAUAUACCUUCGAGACUCUGAAGACACUCUAGAUCAGGGGUUUUCCAACUAUGCUUUACUCAAGAGGGCAGAAUCCAGGGUGAAGGUGUGGAGGGUGACAAAGGCAUCUCAGAAGGACUAAGGUUUCCCUGUCAUUAGGCCUGAAAAGCAGAGCGUCCCACCAUUGCAUAUCUUUGUAGCAUUCUUCCACUUAGAUUUCCUUUGAAUAAAAGAUUUCCUGGCUUUAAAAAAUGUUUGAGAGCAAUAAUCAACCAGACCAGGGUUGCUCAAUCCAUGUGAAAAUGCAGCCUCGGAUUCAAUGGGUCUCCGCCAGGGUGGAUGAUCCUCAUUUUCUGCAGUCUCCAGGUGAUGUUGCUGCUACUGAUCCAAGAACCACAGUUUGAAUAGCUGGGAUCUAGACCAGUCCUUGUGAAAUAAAAUUGCAUUAGCCAGCUAGUCUCCUGGAAAGUUCUGAACAGGUAGGAGUUGAGACCAGUGACUUCACUCAGCCCGAUAGAUCUUCCUGCUCCAACUAGAAUGGGGAGGAAGAUAAGAGCCACACAGUCACAAGCUGCCACAUUAGGCUGUCUGCAGGCUUGAGGAGCAAGGAGAACCAGUCUGAGUCUCAAAACGGAAGAAAUAGGAAUCUGAUGUUUGAGGGCAGGAAGUAUCCAGCACGGGAGAAAGAUGUAGGCUGGGAGGCUAGGUCCUUCUUGCCUUUUCCCAUUUUUCUGCCUGCUUUAUAUUUGCUGGCAGCUGAUUAGAUGGUGCCCACCUGAUUAAGGGUGGAUCUGCCUUCCCCAGCCCACUGACUCAAAUGUUAAUCCCUUUGACGACACCCUCACAGACACACCCAGGAUCAAUACUUUGCAUCCUUCAACCCAAUCAAGUUGACACUCAGUAAUAAUCAUCACAAGUCCACCCCUUUGUCAACUUAAACCCAUACACAUCUCCUGAGAUCAUGCAUAAUCUUCAGAUAAAGAAAAUAAUAAGGUCGUAAUUACACCUAACAUAAUACAACUAUCCUUCAUACAACCAGAAAUGCACCAAUCCCUAAGCCAGAUACUAUUACAUAAACUUAACAACACUUAAAUGCUGAUAUGAAGUCAAUAAUAGUAAUAAUAAUCUUAUGCCACAUGAUAAACGAGAAGGGAAUAAAAUGAAGAUAUUUUCUUAGCAUAAGUGUAUACAUGCACAAGCAUGUUUUUAGCAAAAGAAAGAGGAAAUGCUCAUGACAAUUACAGUUUUCAUUUCGGCAGUUGGUCACACGAUUGUAGCUGGUAUUGAUGACUACCUUCUUCUGCUACCCAUUCUGUAUUCCCUUUGCCUUCAGCAGGCACCCCAGCAUGUCAUGGAUUUUUCCUGGUGAAGUGACCCAAACCUUCAAUCCUUAAGAGUCUGGGCCAUUUGUAGUACUGCCUGGAUUGGGCUGUUGUAGUUUUCCACUGACCUUAAUUAUAGAGCAUUGUAAUACUAACAGACACCCUAAUGGAUCUCCUGUAUUCAUUCCAUGCAUCUUCUUCCUUACUUCUGUUGUGGAGUAGUAGACUGAUUUCAUCUUGAUAGUCUGGGUCAAUCACCCCAGCCAACACUGUAACUCCCUUUUUAGCCUGUUGACUUAAAGAAAGGAGGAGCCCAAAGUGUCCAGGUGGCAAUCUUAACUUGCUGUUCAAUGGAAUCGUUGUUGUGUCUCCUGGUGGCAGCGAUCCUCUGUCUGGAAUUGAGACCUGUAGGCCAGCAGAACAUAAUGUCAUGGAAAUAGGAAGCAAAAAUUUUGCUAGUGGAUCACUAGGGGUGAUGGUGAGUGGUGCCACUUUCACUUCCACACGUUGAUUCCUGGACCGUGAAUCCUGGCUAUGACAGAAACUAAAAUAUAUUGGACACUGAUUCAGAGCAUACAUGGUCAUUGGAUAACUUUGCCUCUGCCCUGCCAAGUAUUGUCACCUAG